GAUCCUUCUCGCCCCAGGGUCCUGCUGUCCUCUGCUAUGUUACACCGUCUUUUGUAGACUCAGCCAAGCCUGUUGUGGAAGGAGUGGCUCUCGGAGCCAUGCUGGACCUGACCAUGCCUUGCUAUGGAAUGGAAUCACUGGGGAGACCAUCAGCUAAGGGCCCUAGCGUGGCCAGAAGAGGAGUUUGGAUCAUUGCCACCAGUGAAACCAAGACCUGUAGGGAUGCAUGAAGAAGUUUCUUCAUGACUCAUUCCCAUUUCAUACCCUUUGACUGCUUGUGAAAAAUACAGCAGACAUGUGUAGAGAGGUGAAGGCUCCUGCAUUUUGCAUUGGAAGAGGGAUUCAUCUUGCCAAGAGUAUACAACGUAAAUCUGCUUUCUAAAGGACUUGGCCAACUGUGGAAAAUCCACCAAACCUGAUGUCUGGCCCCAUUCAGAUCACACACUGGGGCGGACGCGGGACUGACGUGAGCGAGCAUCGCCCCGGGAGUGCGCUGGUUACCAAGCCCUCUGAGCAGCGCUGGGGGCCUUGGCUCCAUCGCAUUAGCAAUCCAGAGCACAAGAAAAGCACAGCCCACCACAACCUACCAGUGCUGUGUGCUCCUUGAAGACCAAACCCACAGCCACACAUCCUGGGCAGACAGAAGUCUCCUCUAAGCAGGCGUGGUGGUUUGAACCAUGGUGCCCAGAGUCUACGCCUGUCAGAGCCACCCACGGAGCAGCAGAGGGCUGAAAGGGCCAACUGGAACCGCAAGAUCUGAAGGUGAGUGAAGAGAAGCUGCCUGGAAAGGAGGUUUGGAAAGUUGAAGACAAGAUCAGACGUUGGAAGCAGCAGCCAUGUUCCGUCAGAAGAGAGAUCUGAAAACCUGGCCUCUCUGUGCUGGCAGGAUGAUAUGGAUGUGUAUCCAGAGAUCAGCUGCAGCCACCAGCUUGACUUCAGCCUAAAACCAGAGGAGAUCUGGCCUCGUGAAUGAGUUUCCAACCACCUUUCUGCCUCAGGCUGGCUUUUCGCUGAAUUUGAAAGUCCACCCCCGUGCUCUUCUCUGUUUUGAGCACUGUCCCCUGUCAGGUUGGAUACGACCCACCUGCCUUUGCUGCCGCUCAGCUCUGCAUCUUGUCUCCUUGCAGAAAUCCCGGAAGGAAUGUGGAGGGUUGAAUGAACUCUACGUGCUGGCAACGCUGCAGCCACCUGCAAACAGCAAGACAUCCCCGAAUGGAGACCUCAUGCUCUUUUUCCUACUUGCCUUCCCUUCCUUCAAAAGGAGCGUUUUGCUGCCCUCUCCUGUGCAAAGACGGGCAGAAAAGGCACUGGACUGUUUGUAAAUACGCUUUCAGGUCUCUGGGUGGAGAGGGAAAAAUUGCAGUGCAAUGUUUGAGGGCUCCAUCGGACCCCACAGCAGCCAAAAGAGGCUGCUCAAGGCACUCUCACCUUUGCCAGCAUCCCCAGGCCAGCUGGGCUGACACGCUUGUCCUACCUGGUGCAGUGGCACACAACAAAGCUGGAACCUGACAGCGCCAACGUACAGCCGGGACAUGACUGCACCUACCGAACUCACUUUUGAGUGGAAAAAUCCAGCUUUCUCUGGCUAUAACAAAUGAUGCGAUAAAGCUGUUCCCUAGAUGCCUGCCCCUGCUGUGCUCUGAGAAUGAGACUGAAGCAUCAUAUUGAUUUGAGAAAAGGCCAGAUAAGGGUUUUAUCUGGGAUGUCUCAGUCUGAGAGGAGAAACUGAAGCAUGUUUCUGUCUGGACAUCCCACCCUGGUCUUCAGGGGCUGCCUGCCUGGAUCCUCAACCAGCUUGCACUGUUAUCAGCCCUGCCUUGCUAUCGCGUUCCUUAGGUGACAAUCUCUUUCAACUGCAAGAGAAGAAAAAAGCAAUCGCUUAUCAGUUCAAACCUGUCGCAUCAUGCCUCUGUUCAAGGGACUUCCCAUUGCUUUAGUGAUUCCAGUAGUAAGGGACAUUGCAAUGAUGCACCCUGAGGACAUUCAGCUUGUAUUAAACAUUAGGUGGUGAAUGACUGGGAGACUGAGGCUCUCCAAAAGGUCUCUAGGAAAAACAUGGGGAUUUUUCUAGGUGCUGACAGACGCUGCUGCACCUGUGACAUCUGGACUCUGGCAGCAGAAUGAGAAACUCCAGGGAAAGGUGGACAAAUGCGGGAAAAUGACCCUGUUGUAAGAGCCAAAUUACUGCCCUCCAGCACUGAAGAUGAUCUGGGUGUCUGCAGAGAUAUCAGGUAUUAAACACAAGAUCGGUCUGGCCACAAGUAUCAAACAAGCCACAGAAUUUUACAGAGUUCUUAAUAAGCCCAUGCAUGGGCUUUAUGUGGCAAGGUUUUUGUAGUGGGGAAACUGCAGGGGUGGCUUCUAUGAGAAGAUGCUGCCCCCUUGUUGAACAGAGUCGUUUCUAGCCAGCUGCAAGACAGACCCACUGCUGGCCAAAGCUGAGCCCAUCAGUGAUAUUGGUAGCGCCUCUGUAAUAACAUAUUUAAGAAGGCGGGGGAAAAACCCACUUUGCAACGGCAGGCAGAAGAGAGAAGGGAGAAUAUGUGAGAGAAACAACUCUGCCGACACCAAGGUCAGUGCAGAAGAAGGGGGAGGAGGUUCUCCAGGUGUCAGAGCAGAGAUUGCUCCGCAGCCUGUGGUGAAGACCAUGGUGAUACACACUGCACCCCUGCAGCCCGUGGAGGUCCACGGUGGAGCAGAGAUCCACCUGCAGCCUGUGGAGGACCCCAUGCCGAUGCAGAUAGGUGCCUAAAGCAGGCUGUGACCCUGUGGAAAGCCUGUGCUGGAGCAGGCUUCUGGCAGGACCUGUGGCCCCAUGGAGAAGAGCCCACACCCGGAGCGGGUUUUUGUGGCAUCAUGAAGAUAGAUGAGUCUGAAAGCUAUUCCCCAGCAAGGCUGUAGCAGCUGGUUCACACCUCUCACCGGGGACCCUUUUUAGCCCAUUGCAAAGGUGCAGCUCUCUGCCAGAAGCCACUGUGGGUGUAUGAACGUAGAGGCACCACAGACCUGGGUUUCCCCUAGGUCCUCUGACUAUAUCUUAUGUCCUGUUGGACACCUGAUCUGGCAUUAGGACUCCCUCCCUUAUGACAACAGGCUCCAGCUGCGCUCCAUGACCCAAAUGUACUCCUGUCCAGAUGCUGAAGCUCCCAAAGUCCAGGCUUUGCAUCCAUGCCCUGAGAACUGUGGGAUAAUGCUGCCCACGUUUGCAGCCAGUCCCCACUGCUCACGUGCUGGUCUGUCAUUUUCCUGACGUUCUCCCUGUUCCUUUGUUUCUGUUUUUGUCUGAGCUUUGGUAUGUGAAUGUUUGAGCUUGUUUAUCUGUUUCAGCUGAAAAACUCUACAAGCUCCAGCAAAAUGCUAAUAAGAAGCAUUUGCUGCAGCUAAUUGAACUGCUUCUAUGAUCCUCCGUAAUUAUCUCCUUGUACAGCACCUACCCUGAGAAAGGCUGUCUAAGAAAGGCAGAAUGGAUGCCAGAGAUAAUCAGAUACCAGAUCUGGGAAAAGGAUUUAAUUUUCUUAUCCAAAUUAAGAUUUUUUUUGGAUUGAUUACCUCACUAAAUAUUUGCUGUUGGGAGCAAACUAAGCUGGUGCUGGUGGGGACUGCAAAGGGAAUGACGGGUGCUCAAUUAUUUACAGACUUGCUUGGCUAGCUGACUGUGCGCCAGGAAUGCAAAGAGAGCCGUCGCUGGGAAUCUCAUCGGAGAUUUUUCAUUGCGAGUAAAAAGCAAGCAAUGACAACAGGGAAUGUUCUCCUGAGUCAAAAUGCUGAAACCAGCCCAGUGAUAAAUUGAGCUGUCACCCGGGCUUGAUUAUCACAUCUAGAGCAUGCCUUACCCCAAUCUUUCCCCAAACUCCUUGAGUUUGCAGACAAGGAGCUUGUAUUGGGUUGGCACAGACCUUCGAGGUCAGCAGGUUGCAAUUGCUUGCAGUGCCUUUAGAAAUCACAAUUAAUAAGUGCACUAGCUUUGUCCUUACCUAGCUUGUAGGUCUUUUAUUGGUGCAGCCCUGAGUUGGGUUGGACGUAUUGCACGCUCAGCACGCUCAUUGCUGAGCGGUCAACGCCUGGCUUGUCCUGAUCUUUCAUGCAUCUCUAUAACUCACAGCAAUAGAGACAGCUCAUAACAAUUAAAACCAGUUUAUAAGCUGUGCAGAGAUGAUGCAAAUUGUCACAACAUUUUAUGAGUGUGGUCCAGAACUGCAGUCACAGAACAUACGAUAGGCUUGCAAGUGAAGGAAAACUCAUGUAUUCUUCAAAAUGGGAGAAGAAGAAUUUGGCAGUAGUAGCUAUUAAUAAGUUAUGAAAUAUGGGUUGCUGUCUAGGAAGCUCAAAUAUCAAUGAAAAGCUGUACAGAAAAAGCAGAAGCUAGCCAUGUGAAUGGUUUUAUAUACAGAUAUAUAUAUCUCGAAAAGAAACCCUUGCAGUGGUAUUGCAUAUCUAACUGGUUGUGGAUGUUAAAAUUGUUGUUAAAGGCCUAGAAAAUCUUAGAUGGGCUGAAGUCAUGUAUUUAGGAAGAAGCUGAAUAAUGUCAUCUUACAUUCACAGCAAAAUGGGAAUUGUAUGACCUGCAGGCUGCAGUUCGGGAGGGCUGUGAGAUCAUCCCACUUUCCACUGAACGGGGGUUGGCAAGUAAUGGUCCAGUCUGUUAAAAGCUGCUGAUCAGGACAAUGCCCUGUGAGGAUUUGGACUUCUUCCUGCCUGUGCCUGUAGGUGCCUGAUUGCACUGGCCCAUGCCAGAUUCACGGACUUGACAGAGUUGGAAGGGACCUCUAGAGAUCAUCCAGUCCAACUCCCCUGCUAAAGCAGGAUUGCUCAGAGCACAUCACUCAGGACUGCAUCAAGGCGGGUCUUGAAAAUCUCCAGGGAAGGGAACUCCAUGGCCUCUCUCAGCAGCCUGUUCCAGUGCUCUGUCACCCUCACUGUAAAGAAGUUCUUCCUCAUGUUUGAGUUCCAGCUGUGGAGUCAAGCCUGGACCUGGGGCUGCCACUAAGACCUCAUCAGCAAAGAGAUGAACUGCUUCAUCCCUCUUACUUCAUGCAGCUAGAGACAUUGCUCAUGUUUAUUCAUCCCAUUAUGGUGUUUCUAUUUGUUCAAUUGUAACAUUAACUAGGCAAGAUGCCAAAAAGCAUCUGCUAAUAUUAAGCAUAUAAUUAUAACAAUGAUAUGAUUGCAAGUUCAGCUUCACUUGCUGUUAUGAGAUGGUGUUAAUUUGGCUGAUAAAGGGAACUAUGUUGA